GCAUUAAGGGCGACUGCAACCAAGCGUUGUGGCAAGUUACGGUGGGAGCUUCUGUCCGUGCUGUGUGAUUGCGACGAGGGGACCGCCGCCAGCAGCAGCGUAUCGCCGAUUUCGUCUUUGCCGACAUCGAGCAAGUGCUGCGGUUUGCACUGCAUCUUUCAUUGUGAUAUGGGAGAUCGCAACGGACAGAGACGACCAGGUGCAUACGAACGACUACCAGCGGAGAGUGACCUGUGCCGUAUUUCUCUUAACGUCUCAGGUAAUCAAGAAAUUACAACAGCCAGAAGUCACCAUCUUACCAGCACGUUAUGGGUACACUCUGGCGGCUCCUACCCCUGUGUCCUCCCACCACCCUGUCCUGACUACGUCCACUAGGUAGUUGGGAGCCUUUGGCGGCUUCUGCCACUGCAUCCUGCCGCCACCAUGUCCCGACUAUGUCCACUAGGGAGUUGGCAGCCUUAGUGAUGAUGCCAGCAGGCUGACAGCCGACAGAAAGAUUCAGGUUGCCUCGAAAUUUUACCCAAGCCAUGCCGCACACUCGGGCCAGGCCUCUUGCGAACGACGUAUAACCAGGCUCAACGCAUCAGGGUCGAGGGAGUCCGGAGAUCAAGGCAACCUGCUGUGCAACCAGCGUGCAACCUUUGGUGACCCCUCUACAUGUGCUACCUAUUUCACAGCUGUGCCUCACCUACCAUCUAUCCAAACAGCAUCACCGGCUGUGAUCACUUAUCGAACCAUGGAUGAAUGUUGGGGUGGAGUGAUUUGAACAGACAUUCUAUUUGUCUCUUCAAAUUCUUUGUAAAUAUUUCUGUUAUAAUUCAUAUGUGUCUUUAGUAUCUAGUUUUUAAUAGUUCCUUUCUCUUAGAAUUCUCACCAUCAGCCCCUGCUAUUCUAAUGUAUACCUGCCUUUAAGCCCCGUUUCUCGUAGUUCUUUCGUACUUGUGGAUGUAAUUGAUAGGUUAUUAAUUCUUGUUGUACGGAAGGCUAAAAUACGAACUUACGGCAUUUUUUCUUCCUUUGAUAAUCUACAGCACUGCAAUGUGUUCAAGAAAUGUAACAUAACACGGGCUCUGGUGCAGGAUAAAUUUAAGAGCAAUAUAGAGUACUUAUUUCAAGCACCCAUUAUUUUUUAAAAACUCAAGGAUAUAGGAGCACAAGAAAGAAACUAUUGAACUAGAGAAACAUUGGUUCCCCUCAUAAGUCUGGUAAUAAUGUGACUUCUUUCACUGCAAAGAUACUGGUACUCGCAUACAAGGUUUGAGACAUGAAAGCUAUGAUACCCUUGGCAUUUCUCAGUGCUUAUUUGCCACACUGACGAAUGUCAAAGGCAGCAUAGGUUUCAUGCACACAUUGGUUGUAUUACACCUUUUGA